GCCACCAUUUAAAAGAUUGAAGGGGAGUCGGUAAAUCUAUGAGAAGUUGGAAAGCAGGAUCAUGAACCUAUGUAAUGGUAUCUUAGAGAUUGGUAGAGUGGCCAGUCGUGCAAAGAGGAGGGUGGAUCUGAAUUUGUAGAAGGAUGAGUUUCUACAGGUAUGAUGUGAUUUACAUCAUUAAACCCUGACUCUAUCAGAUCUUACUCUGUAAUUAACUAUGGUAGCUUUUUUUUUUUUUAAAUUACUUUGAUGCAAUCUUCACGAUUGGAUUUUGUUUGAUUCUGUAAAAUUGGUAAUCUACCACAAUUGCGUAAAUACCAUUUCUUGUUAUUUCA